GGGCGUGUGGCUCAGUUGGUAGAGCGCCCGCUUAGCAUCGUUCCUUCUUCCUUCCAAGGAACUUAAUAGUACUUUGCGGAAGGUCCCCGGUUCGAUUCCGGGCUCGUCCA